rnacentral:tRNA from 1 species
CGGCGUUGGGCCGGUAGCCCAGCUCCUCGAUCGCGGCGAGGAUCCGGCGCCGGGUCUCGUCCGGGAUCGCCGC